rnacentral:misc_RNA from 1 species
UUAAGUUCAGCGGGUCUUCCUACCUGAUCCGAGGUCAACCUUGGGUAAAUAAGGCUUUUUAACGGCCGGAACCCGCAGCACGCCCUGAGCGAGAUGUAUUACUACGCUCGGAGUGACUAGCGAGCCCGCCACUGGGUUCAGGGCCUGCGGCAGCCGCAGGUCCCCAACACAAGCCGGGGGCUUGAUGGUUGAACGUAGAC